AGAGAAGAAAGGAGGAAAAAAUUACGCACUGCCGACAUGCUCUGAAUUAAUUUGCUAGGUAGAAACCAUGAUGUCGAUGUAGAUACUGUAUCUGCAGCUAGCUCCACAGUGAGAGGAAUAACCUCUAUCUAAUAUGGUGUUGAUAUGAAGGACUUUGACACAGUUUGAAAACACGAGUGAUACAUUAGUUAGAAAAUAGCAUUUCUGCAUUAUAGGGUCCAAAGCAAAUAAUUUAUGCUGCAGGCUUUUUUGUUCUAGUGAUGAUUAUUUUAUGAGAAAUAGGUUUUGAUUUCUAAACUUAGCCAUGCUGCCCACAAAUGGUACUUUCUGGGGAUUAACGAUUGAUCUUUCCAUUUCUCAGCUUUUCUUGAUUCUCUUCACAUCUUCUGCUUCCCAAUGUGUGUGUGUGCAAGCUCUGUAGGCAAAUGAAGAAUAGUCAUCUGGCAGAAUCAGCAAGUCAUUGGGCCCACCUGUGCAUCUCCUGAAGGCAAAAUGCUGAUCUGGUGUAAGUCUUGUCUGACUGUCUUUGAAGGAUGGCUACUAUAUUACAUUGAAAUAAAAGCAGUCUAGAUGAUCCUUUGCUGGAGCUGGCUGGACACAGCAGAAGAACUGUUAGAAAAAUUGCUUUUCUGAAUCCUUCUAGAGGAAUCUAGAAGUGAUGGAGACACCAACGUGGUCAAAGCAUGUGCUGCAUUUUCACCAGUGUAAAUCAGAAAAACACCACCCAUGGUUUGAGCUGCAUAGAUUUACACCAGGUGAAGCACUGGGACCUGGAGGUAUUGAGUUGCCCAGGGUCACGUGGGUUGUGGCAAAGUUAAGGUGCAGAGAUGUCUCAAUGUCUUUUACCUUUGUGGAGCAACAUCUUCCUUCUUACGUUGGUGUUGUGACAUAGCAGAGUGCUAGACAGCCCAACUGAAGAUCCAAAAUGACUCGACCAUAACCUUUUUGGAUUGUGUUGCUAUCUCUUUGUUAUGGGUUAUAACAUACAGAUAUGCGAAAUAUGGCACCCUUAGGGAUGCAACCCAGGCUGAAGGUAAAAGAGGUGGGGGUGGAAACACCAGUGAUGACGCAGAGGGUACCCAGGGGCUGGGAUCGCAUUCCUGGCUGUGCUGGUGGCCUGGGGUAAUUUCCUUCUCUUCUGUUUUCCAUCUAUCUUUUGUGAAGAUAAUUAUAAUCUCACUAUAGCAGAGGGUAGAGGCUUUUUGAGGACCCAUAAAGACAGCUGACCCUAUUUGCUAGGAUAAGUAGGUAAAAGAAAUGGGAAUGAGCCUGGGGGAAGGUAGGAACUAAAAGAGGUGGGGGAGAGGGGCUGGUUCCCAGAUCACAGAUUUAGAAGGUUUCCAGCUCAGGCGGGUGAAGGAGGGCUCAGACACGAGCUACUUGGCUGAGGGAUCCAUCUGCCUAAUUUGCAGGAGGGCAGAACAGUUUUCUUUUAGGUGGAGUUGUCCCAGACCCUAAUUCUUAUGAGAAAAUAAAGCUAAUUUUGAGGCUUAAGCUUAAGCUACUCUGGCCAAUGGGGGGAGGGGGGUGGAGGGGGGGGAGAGGUGGAUGCCAGAGGGAGGGCAUCAUCAGCCUACAGCAUAUGUUAUCUAUGUGCAACACCCUGUACCAUGAGUACUACAAAGAGCCUGUAGGAAAAAUGGGAGGGACUCUUUAUGAGGGUAGUGAAAGGACAGGGGGCAGUGACUGGAAAAUAAAAGAGGGUAGAUUUAGAUUAGAUAUUAGGAAGAAAUUCUUCAUUAUGAGGGUGAUGAGGCAUUGGAACAGGCUGCCCAGAGAGGCUGAGAAUGCCUCAUCCACAGGUGCUUAAAGCCAGGUUGGAUGGAGCUUUGGGCACGCUGGUCUAGUGGGAAGUGUUCCUGCCCAUGGCAAGGGAUUAGAUCCAGAUGAUCGUUAUGGUGAAAUUAAAACAGCAAAAAACUUUGACUUCUCUCUGGGCAAAGACAGAUCUUACCAGUACACGAUUCUCUAUAAGCUUAAUUCUAACCUAUUAGCUAUAUAAGCAGGGCAUCUUUAAGAAACUUUUAAUUGUCCCCAAAUAUUCAAUUAUUUUAUGUUCCUUCGUGCCCUGUACUCCUUUUUCCAACAGGGAAG
ensembl:lncRNA